AACGAACGCUGGCGGCAUGCCUAACACAUGCAAGUCGAACGAGACCUUCGGGUCUAGUGGCGCACGGGUGCGUAACGCGUAUGCAAUCUACCUUGUACCGGGGAAUAGCCCAGAGAAAUUUGGAUUAAUGCCCCAUAGUAUAUAACCUUCGCAUGUUGGUUAUAUUAAAGUUCCAACGGUACAAGAUGAGCAUGCGUCCCAUUAGUUAGUUGGUAAGGUAACGGCUUACCAAGACGAUGAUGGGUAGGGGUCCUGAGAGGGAGAUCCCCCACACUGGUACUGAGACACGGACCAGACUCCUACGGGAGGCAGCAGUGAGGAAUAUUGGUCAAUGGGCGCAAGCCUGAACCAGCCAUGCCGCGUGCAGGAAGACGGUCCUAUGGAUUGUAAACUGCUUUUAUACAGGAAGAAACCCUCCCACGUGUGGGAGAUUGACGGUACUGUAGGAAUAAGGAUCGGCUAACUCCGUGCCAGCAGCCGCAGUAAAAC
rnacentral:rRNA from 1 species